UACGAAGGGGGCUAGCGUUGUUCGGAUUUACUGGGCGUAAAGCGCACGUAGGCGGACUAUUAAGUCAGGGGUGAAAUCCCGGGGCUCAACCCCGGAACUGCCUUUGAUACUGGUAGUCUUGAGUUCGAGAGAGGUGAGUGGAAAUUCCGAGUGUAGAGGUGAAAUUCGUAGAUAUUCGGAGGAACACCGGUGGCGAAGGCGGCUCACUGGCCCCGAUACUGACGCUGAGGAGCGAAAAGCGUGGGGGAGCGAACAGG
rnacentral:rRNA from 1 species